CCCUUGGGUGGUCUUUCUAUUUAAAUCAGGGAAACGGAGCUAGAUCUCCCAAAUGCACUUGGAUCUUGUGUUUGAGAAAAAUCAACAACCCAGUACCAGAUGCAAGUCACAUGAAAGUGCCCCCAAAGCACAGAGAGAGAGAGGGAGAGGGAGGAGCACAACACCCGGCUGAUCCCAGGAGCACAACACCCGGCUGAUCCCAGGACCC
rnacentral:lncRNA from 1 species